CCCUUAGAUGUUCUGGGCCGCACGCGUGCUACACUGAGUGGAUCAGCGGGUCAGGUUGCGCGAAAGUGUUUCCUAAUCUUGAAAUCCGCUCGUGAUGGGGAUUGACGGUUGCAAUUUUCCGUCAUGAACGAGGAAUACCUUGUAAGCGCGGGUCAUCAUCCCGCGCUGAAUACGUCCCUGCCCUUUGUACACACCGCCCGUCGCUCCUACCGAUUGAGUGGUCCGGUGAGGCUUUGGGAUCUGAGCAAAGAGAGCGUUUCGCUCGUUUUGCUCGGAAAACUCAGUCGAACCUUAUCAUUUAGAGGAAGAAGAAGUCGUAACA
rnacentral:rRNA from 1 species